CAGUCGCCGCGGUAAUACGAAGGGUGCAAGCGUUGCUCGGAAUUACUGGGCGUAAAGCGUGCGUAGGUGGCGUGUUAAGUCGAAUGUGAAAGCCCCGGGCUCAACCUGGGAAUGGCAUCCGAUACUGGCAGGCUAGAGUUCGAUAGAGGGUAGUGGAAUUCCAGGUGUAGCGGUGAAAUGCGUAGAGAUCUGGAGGAACAUCAGUGGCGAAGGCGGCUACCUGGAUCAGAACUGACACUGAGGCACGAAAGCGUGGGGAGCAAACAGGAUUAGAUACCCGAGUAGUCCCUGUCUCUUAUAA
rnacentral:rRNA from 1 species